AUGUCUUCCUCCUCCUCCGGUGCCUUCUCUCCCAAACUCAAUAGCCAGGUCACAGAGAAGUUGUCUCGCACGAACUAUGUGCUAUGGCGCACGCAGAUCACACCUCAACUGCGCGGCGCCGGCGUCUACGGCUACGUCGACGGCGCCACACCGGAGCCUGCAAAGCUCCUGAUCACCACCAAAGUGGACAAGGAGACUUCAUCGUCCAACCCUCUCCACCCUAUAUGGGUCCGGGAGGAUCAGCAGGUCCUUGGCUUCCUGCUGGCCAACCUCACAAAGGAGGUCUUGGUCACGGUGACCACGGUCACCACGGCGAGCGCGCUCUGGACGACGCUUGCUGCCAUGUUCUUGUCACACUCGGCGAGCCGCAUCAACAACAUCCCCACCUCCCUCAUCAACGCAUAG
rnacentral:rRNA from 1 species